UACGUAGGGGGCUAGCGUUGUCCGGAUUUAUUGGGCGUAAAGAGCGUGUAGGCGGCCAGGUAGGUCUGGUGUGAAACUCGAGGCUUAACCUCGAGAUGUCAUCGGAAACCAUCUGGCUAGAGUCCGGAAGAGGAGAGUGGAACUGCGAGUGUAGAGGUGAAAUUCGUAGAUAUUCGCAAGAACACCAGUGGCGAAGGCGGCUUCCUGGCCUGUUCUUGACGCUGAGGCGCGAAAGCUAGGGUAGCAA
rnacentral:rRNA from 1 species